rnacentral:rRNA from 1 species
UACGAAGGGGGCUAGCGUUGCUCGGAUUUAUUGGGCGUAAAGAGCGUGUAGGCGGCCUGAAAGGUCAGCUGUGAAAACUCGAGGCUCAACCUCGAGACGUCGGUUGAAACCAUCUGGCUAGAGUCCGGAAGAGGAGAGUGGAAUUCCCGGUGUAGCGGUGAAAUGCGCAGAUAUCGGGAAGAACACCCGUGGCGAAGGCGGUUCUCUGGGACGGUACUGACGCUGAGACGCGAAAGCGUGGGGAGCGAACAGG